AACGAACGCUGGCGGCAGGCUUAACACAUGCAAGUCGAACGCCCCUUACGGGGAGUGGCAGACGGGUGAGUAACGCGUGGGAAUCUACCCAUCUCUACGGAAUAACUCAGGGAAACUUGUGCUAAUACCGUAUACGACCUUCGGGGGAAAGAUUUAUCGGAGAUGGAUGAGCCCGCGUUGGAUUAGCUAGUUGGUGGGGUAAAGGCCUACCAAGGCGACGAUCCAUAGCUGGUCUGAGAGGAUGAUCAGCCACAUUGGGACUGAGACACGGCCCAAACUCCUACGGGAGGCAGCAGUGGGGAAUAUUGGACAAUGGGCGCAAGCCUGAUCCAGCCAUGCCGCGUGAGUGAUGAAGGCCUUAGGGUUGUAAAGCUCUUUCACCGGAGAAGAUAAUGACGGUAUCCGGAGAAGAAGCCCCGGCUAACUUCGUGCCAGCCGCCGCGGUAAGAC
rnacentral:rRNA from 1 species